AUGAAUUGCUUUCCUUUGAUGUCAUGCUGUGUGUUGCUAUGCGCCAUUCGGCUGCUUGGAGAGCUCCUAAGCUCCCCGUGUAUCUUUCCCAUUUGUGCUGUUCAUGCUACAACCCCAUUCAGUGGACCUUUAAGUUAUCUUAUGAUUAGUUCGCUUUCCCUUGCUAGCUGGAACAUGAGGGGGUUGAACAACCGAGUGCGUCGGGCUGCAGUUCGCGCCAUGCUGGAUCAGCUUUCAUGCUCGAUCAUCUGUUUACAGGAAUCGAAGCUUGUGGCUGUUGUCGUUGCGGACAUUCGGGAGAUCACCGGGCCUGCUUUUGAUUGCCAUGCUGCUCUUUUAGCGGAGGGCACCCGUGGCGGCGUGCUACUUUGCUGGCGCUCCAGCAAUGUUACCGCGUCCGCAAUUGUUAUCCGCACCUUUUCGAUCACGACUACUUUUUUGACGGAGGGGCUAACCACGCCUUGGUCGCCGACCAUCGUGUAUGGGCCGCAUGACUGCGCGCGUAAGCAGGCAUUUUUGAAUGAGCUUGCAGAUAUUCACAACUCCAUGUCGGGGCCGUGGAUGCUGAUUGGGGACUUCAACCUGAUCACGGACCCAACUGACAAGAACAACGAUCGUAUUUGUAGACGCUGGAUGAAUAAAUUUCGGCGAACACUGAACAGAUCGAACCUCCACGAAAUGCCUUUGAUUGGUAGGAAGUAUACUUGGAGCAACGAACAGUCCCCGCCAACGCUUGUUUGUCUCGACCGUGCCUUCUCCAAUGUAGAUUGGGAGCUUCUAUUCCCGGUAGCCAAGCUACUGCCACAAGCUUCUUCUAUCUCCGACCAUUGUCCGUUGAUGCUCCGAAAUGAUGCAACGCUGAAAACCAACAAGAGGUUCCGGUUCGAAGCCUACUGGCAGUACAUUGGAGGCUUCAAGGAGCUGGUUGGCCAAUCCUGGGCUGAAUCGAUUGGUGGUAGAUCGCCCCUUGCCGCUCUGGAUUUCAAGCUUUGGCGGCUGAGCAAAGCUCUGUGGGCCUGGAGCAAAACCAUCGCCGGUGACAUUCAAAUGCAGAUGAAUGUGGUCAAUGAAAUCAAUCUUCAGUUAGAUGCAGCACAAGACUACAGAAGUCUAUCUAUGGAUGAAAGCAACCUGCGUGCAAAGCUUAAAUCAAGAUCUUUGGGGCUAGCUGUUCUGUUGAAAAUCAAGGUGCGACAAAGGAGUCGUGUCCUCUGGUUGAAGGCAGGGGAUGCCAACACGCGUUUUUUCCAGCGUAAAGCAAACGCAAGACAUAGAAAGAACACCAUCCAUUUGCUUCACGGGCCUGAUGGGAUGGUCUCGAGUACUGAUGCCAUGACGGAUUUAGCCUACAAGCAUUUCAAGAACAUUCUUGGUACAUCUCAAGGUGUCUCCUCCACUUUGGAUUGGGACACAUUGGAUCUGGACCAGACAGAUUUGUCAGAUAUUGAGGGAGAAUUUUCCUUGGAUGAGGUGAAGCUGGCCAUUGACGAUAUGCCGUCGGACAAGGCACCCGGCCCGGAUGGUUACAAUGCUGGCUUCUAUAAGCAUUGCUGGGACAUUAUCAAGCUGGAUGUGGUAGCGGCCUUGAAUCAACUCCACCGCAUGGAUAGUAGAGGGUUGGCACGAGUGAACAAGGCUUGCAUUGUGCUUAUCCCCAAGAAGCAUGGUGCUGACAAUCUAUCAGACUUUCGGCCCAUCUCACUUCUGCACAGCCUUGUUAAGAUUUUCACAAAACUGCUUGCUCGUCGCCUAGCUCCAAAGCUGCCGGAUCUAGUUGACCUUUCCCAAAGUGCUUUCAUUAAGUACUACAGUAUUCAGGAAAACUUCCUGUACGUCCAAAACACGAUCAGAUAUCUGCACAAGAUGAAGAAGCCUGCAAUCCUUCUUAAAUUAGAUAUCACAAAGGCAUUUGAUUCUGUAGCUUGGGAAUACAUCCUUGAUAUGCUUCAGGCUCGGGGUUUUGGUUCUCGUUGGAGGACUUGGAUUGCUAUGCUCCUGCGCACAUCCUCAUCUCGUGUGCUCAUCAAUGGCCAGCUCUCAGAGGAGAUUAUCCAUCGCAAGGGCCUCCGGCAAGGGGACCCAAUUUCACCGUUCUUGUUUAUUCUGACGAUGGACCCGCUACAACGUAUGAUGAGGAUGGCCACGGAGGAGGGUGUGCUUUUGAAGCUACCUAGUCGGCGACACCUUAUGCGCUGCUCUUUUUAUGCGGAUGACGUUGCAUUAUUCAUUAACCCCUCCGCAAGGGAUGCGCGAAUGGUCAAGCUGCUUCUUGACUGCUUCGCCUCGGUGUCGGGCCUUCGCACCAACACCGACAAGAGCUCGGAUCUUCCAAUCCGCUGCUUUGCUUUGAAUCUGCACCACAUCUUGGCGCUGCUUGGGAUCCCAUUAAAGCAUUUCCCAACUUCAUACCUUGGGAUGCCGCUAUCUUUGAGAACUCUGACCAAGAUUGAUCUAGAACCUUUUGUCCUCAAGUUCGGAAAAAGAAUGUCCUGCUGGAAAGGUGGCAUGAUGGCCAAGAGCAGUCGGCUUGUUCUUCUCCGAUCUAACCUGGCUUCCCUUGCGGUGUACAUGAUGACCGUGCAUCGUCUGCCGAAGUGGGUUAUCAAAAGAUUGAUACAGCUAUGCCGGGCUUGGCUGUGGAGUGGAGAGAGCGUCUGCAAUGGCGGACAGUGUCGCGUGGCCUGGAGUUUGCUCUGCCGACCGAAGCAUCUUGGAGGAUUGGGGGUUAUGGAUUUUGCUAAAUUUGGCAGAGCAUUGCGCCUGCGUUGGAUGUGGCUAGCUUGGCAAGUCCCUGUCAGGCCUUGGGCGCAAGGCCCGCUGCCAUGCGAUGACACUGAUAAGGCGCUCUUUUCCAUGGCAACUACUAUUGUCCUGGGUGAUGGCGCACGUACCAAAUUCUGGCAUGAUCGUUGGCUUAAUGGCCAGUGCCCAAAGUCCAUUGCGCCAACUCUCUACAAAAUCUCCACUCGCAAAAACAGAACAGUCAAAGAGGCCAUGGAAAAUUAUGUUUGGUUGACUGAUCUGGCUAAUGGACUAACGGAAGAAAUGAUGCAUCAGCUAACCACCUUGGCUUCCUUGCUGGAUGAGAUUGAGCUACAACAGGACCAACCGGAUGCAAUUACUUGGCGGCUAUCUUCUGAUGGGAAAUAUUCUGCUAGCUCCGCCUAUUUGCUCCAGUUUGCGGGAUUGAUUCCCAUGGAUGGAUUCCAACUAAUCUGGUCUCCUUGGGCGCCGGGGAAAUGCCGCUUUUUCAUUUGGACAACCAUCCUGAGCAAAAUUCUCAUGGCAGAUGUGCUUCUUCGUCGCAGAUGGGAAAACAAUUAUUUCUGCCCUUUAUGUGAGCGCAGCUUGGAGACAUCUUACCACCUUCUCGUGGACUGCCCUUGGUCCAAGGACAUUUGGGACUCGGUAGCCUCGGCUUCGAAUUCUCCGCCGCUGCGACCGACUGCAUGGAGCGGAUGCACGGACAUUAAGGAUUGGAUGAGCAGAUGCUUUCAUCUUGCCCCAGCGGCAACAAAGAAGAGUACCCUCUCACUCAUUCAGCUCAUUGCAUGGGAAAUUUGGAGAGAAAGGAAUCGGCGUCUGUUUCAACAGGAGGCUAUGCACAAAACAGCUCUUGUUCGCAAGAUUAAAGAUGAAAUCAGGCUCUGGAAUAUGGCCGGCGCUGGCAUCCCUUUUGACCCUGGUUGA
rnacentral:rRNA from 1 species